GGCAAGAUCAUCAAGGAGAUCCUCAUCGUCGACGUCUGGCCGCCGCCGCUGCCGCAGCCGCCGCCGCCGUGCAAGCCGCCGCCGUGCGAGAAGCCUCCGGAGGACUGCAAGCCCAAGCCCUGCCAUUGCUGCAGCUGCGAGAAGCCCAAGCCCAAGCCCAAGCCCUGCCACUGCGAGAAGCCCAAGCCCUGUCACUGCGAGAAGCCCAAGCCAUGCGAGAAGCCGCCGCCGUGCAAGCCGGAGGAGCCGCCGGAGCCGCCGCCGGAGAAGCCGCCGCCGAAGCCGGAGUGCAAGCUGGUGCCGUACCCUUACCCGGUGCCGUACCCGUACGCCGGGCAGUGGUGCUG
rnacentral:misc_RNA from 1 species